GCGGUACCACCGCCCAAUCGCCCUGUGGCGAACCGGGGAACCAGGUACCUGGGGUGAAUCCGCGCGAGCGGUAGGGGCCACUUCCGUCCCGAACCCGACAGCUAACCCGGUCGGCGGUCGACGGAAGGGAA
rfam:Micromonospora sp. CB01531 scaffold7, whole genome shotgun sequence.